ACUAUCUGUUUAAUUUUUCUUUGUGAACCCCCCUUUCUCUCUCUUCGUUUUUCUGCUUUACUCAUACCAUGGUGCUAAUACCUCUGCCCUCCUCUUCAUGGCGAUGGUACUUCCGCCAGUCUGCCCUCUUUCCCCCUGUUUAUCUUCUUCGACAUCAGAGUAAUCGCUCACUACCACUCCUCUUCCUUUUUGGUGGUGCUUAAAGACUAAAAUAUGACACCAUCGUCACCAAGAAUCGCCCUUGCAAGGUUUCAAUUGCAGUUUCAGUUUCAUUUUUUCACUUCGUGAUAUGUAACUGUACACCCAGCUCAGGUUUCUAAGUUUUCGCACCUUGAUAAGUCUACCUCGAAGGAAUGGGUUGAAUAUUUCGGAUGCUAAUGCGAGCACAUUAGAGUCGAAGUUGGAUGGAUGAGAUCAGAAGUCCCUGGAAUGCGUGAAUGAAAAACAGGAUGUUUUCUAGAGAGAGGGGGAGGAAUAUUCAUUGAAGGUUGAUGUCAUUAGUGGGAGUAUGUGGUUCUUGGUUAAAUGUCUCUGAAAUGGAGAGAAGGGAGCCUUGAUAAUCUGUUGAGAUGUUCUAUGUUUACAAGUUUUGUGAUCUGGUAUGCUCGUCAAGAGACAUGUUGAUGGAUCACAAGCAAUCUAGGACUACAACAUAGGGUUGGAGGAUCACAGAGGGCAGAAGGUUAAACUGGAUUCCGAGUCUGAGAAAAGGUUAAAUUUGAUAGAGCAAUAAUGAUGGGUCUGCAUAUAAAAAGGGGAAACGACCAAUUAGAAAAAAAGAGUGCAAAUUAGAGGUGCUUCUAAUGGGAGAGGAGGUCUUUCUCUCUUGAUACGGAAUUCAUAGAGUGCAUUGACAACAUUCCGAUCUUUCAAUUUGAUAUGGUGUGGUGAUGCGUUAUGCUCUGUGACAUCAACUUUCUUUCAAUCUAAAGAGCGUCUUGCAAAAUCUAGAAGAGUAUUGAACAUUCUCGUGGAAAAAUGGUCUUUCGUGCAAGAGAGCUUAACAACAGUCAUAGCCUAGAUUUGUCAUUAUAUUUGAGGUUGGGGCUAUUGGAACUUUGGAAGGUGUGGCAACAUUUCACUGUGGCAAAUUCGACAAAUGUAGUGAAGCUUUGACAUCUGCCAAAGUAAGAUUCGGUAAGGUAUGGAGAAGUUGGAUUUAUAUUGUAUUCUUCAAGAUGAGCAUCAACAGGUUCUAUGUGAGACAAAUUAUUCAUCUUAUCAGGCUGUGAUCAAUAGAGUUUACAUAAAUUUCUUUGCUCUAUAUUUCUUUCCUGACUUUUGCACGGUAGAUUUUUUUGUUGAUUGUUACUGUUUUGUUUUGCUGGUUUGUUUAUUCGUUGAACCUGGCCAAUGGAACUGAUAAACAUAAAAGUGUAUUUUACCUUUACGUGGUUAUCCAUAUGGGUUGCUUUUUCCAGUAUGGUAGUUUAGUUUAGGAGGUGGAUGGACAUACUGCUAUAAUAUAUCAUAGACUUCCAUCUUGA